rnacentral:lncRNA from 1 species
GUGGCCUUUUUCCGCUGGACAAACUUGGCGCCCCGGCCUUCGGGCGGUUAUUUUCGGGCGCGGUUGUCCCCGCGGCCUAUUUUUGGCACACGGAGGCCCCUAGCAAAGUCUCGCGCCAUUCCGGGACCGGCGGACGAAGUUGGGCAGCCCCACUCCCCAAGGCUAUAGCCCACCCGUUUUUGUGGCCUUUUUCCGCUGGACGAACUUGGCGCCCCGGCCUUCGGGUGGUUAUUUUUGGCGCGGCUGUACCCGUGGCCUAUUUUUGGCACACGGAGCCGCCUUGCAAAGUCUCGCGUCAUUCCGAGUCCGGCGGACGAAGUUGGCCUGCCUACCCCCCAAGGCUAUAGCCCACCCGUUUUUGUGGCCUUUUUCCGCUGGACAAACCUGGCGCCCCGGCCUUCGGGCGGUUAUUUUUGGGCGCGGCUUGCCCGCGGCCUAUUCUUGGCACACGGAGGCCGCUCGCAAAGUCUCGCGGCAUUCCGAGUCUGGCGGACGAAGUUGGCCAGCCCCACCCCCCAAGGCUAUAGCCCACCCGUUUUUGUGGCAUUUUUCCGCUGGACGAACCUGGCGCCCCGGCCUUCGGGCGGUUAUUUUUGGGCGCGGCUUUGUCCGCGACCUAUUUUUGGCACAAGGAGGCCCCUCACAAAGUCCCGUGCCAUUCCGAGUCCGGAGGACGAAGUUGGCCAGCCCCACCCCCCAAGGCUAUAGCCCACCCGUUUUUGUGGCCUUUUUCCGCUGGACGAACUUGGCGCCCCGGCCUUCGGGCGGUUAUUUUUGGGCGCGGCUUUGCCCGCGGCCUAUUUUGGCACAAGGAGGCCCCUCACAAAGUCCCGUACCAUUCCGAGUCCGGAGGACGAAGUUGGCCAGCCCCACCCCCCAAGGCUAUAGCCCACCCGUUUUUGUGGCCUUUUUCCGCUGGACGAACUUGGCGCCCCGGCCUUCGGGCGAUAAUUUUUGGGCGCGCCUGUACCCGCGGCCUAUUCUUGGCCAUGGAGGCCUCUAGCAAAGUCUCGCGCCAUUCCGUGUCCGGCGGACGAAGUUGGCCAGCCCCACCCCCCAAGGCUAUAGCCCACCCGUUUUUGUGGCCUUUUUCCACUGGACGAACCUGGCGCCCCGGCCUUCGGGCGGUUAUUUUUGGGCGCGGCUUUGCCCGCGGCCUAUUUUGGCACAAGGAGGCCCCUCACAAAGUCCCGUACCAUUCCGAGUCCGGAGGACGAAGUUGGCCAGCCCCACCCCCCAAGGCUAUAGCCCACCCGUUUUUGUGGCCUUUUUCCGCUGGACGAACUUGGCGCCCCGGCCUUCGGGCUGUUAUUUUCGGGCGUGGCUUUGCCCGGAGCCUAUUUUUGGCACACGGAGGCCCCUCACAAAGUCUCGUGCCAUUCCGAGUCCGGAGGACGAAGUUGGCCAGCCCCACCCCCCAAGGCUAUAGCCCACCCGUUUUUGUGGCCUUUUUCCGCUGGACGAACUUGGCGCCCCGGCCUUCGGGCGGUUAUUUUUGGGCGCGCCUGUACCCGCGGCCUAUUUUUGGCACACGGAGGCCGCUCGCAAAGUCUCGCGCCAUUCCGGGUCCGGCGGACGAAGUUGGGCAGCCCCACCCCCCAAGGCUAUAGCCCACCCGUUUUUGUGGCCUUUUUCCGCUGGACGAACUUGGCGCCCCGGCCUUCGGGCUGUUAUUUUUGGGCGUGGCUUUGCCCGGAGCCUAUUUUUGGCACACGGAGGCCCCUCACAAAGUCUCGUGCCAUUCCGAGUCCGGAGGACGAAGUUGGCCAGCCCCACCCCCCAAGGCUAUAGCCCACCCGUUUUUGUGGCCUUUUUCCGCUGGACGAACUUGGCGCCCCGGCCUUCGGGCGGUUAUUUUUGGGCGCGCCUGUACCCGCGGCCUAUUUUUGGCACACGGAGGCCGCUAGCAAAGUCUCGCGCCAUUCCGGGUCCGGCGGACGAAGUUGGGCAGCCCCACCCCCCAAGGCUAUAGCCCACCCGUUUUUGUGGCCGUUUUCCGCUGGACGAACUUGGCGCCCCGGCCUUCGGGCUGUUAUUUUUGGGUGUGGCUUUGUCCGGGGCCUAUUUUUGGCACACAGAGGCGCCUCGCAAAGUCUCACACCGUUCCGAGUCCGGCGGACAAAGUUGGCCAGCCCCACCCCCCAAGGCUAUGGCCCACCCGUUUUUGUGGCCUUUUUCCGCUGCACGAACUUGGCACCCCGGCCUUCGGGUGGUGUUUUUUGGGUACGGCUGUGUCCGUGACCUAUUUUUGGCACACGGAGGCCCCUCGUAAAGUCUCGCGGCAUUCCGAGUCCGGCGGACGAAGUCGGCCAGCCCCACCCCCCAAGGCUAUAGCCCACCCGUUUUUGUGGGCUUUUUCCGAUGGACGAACUUGGCGCCCCGGCCUUCGGGCAGUUACUUUGGGGCGCAGCUUCGUCAGCAGCCUAUUUUCUGCACACGGAGGCCCCUCGCAAAGUCUCGUGGCAUUCCGAGUCCGGCGGACGAAGUUGGCCAGCCCCACC